rnacentral:rRNA from 1 species
UUUUGUAUAAUGGGUCAGCGACUUAUAUUCUGUAGCAAGGUUAACCGAAUAGGGGAGCCGAAGGGAAACCGAGUCUUAACUGGGCGUUAAGUUGCAGGGUAUAGACCCGAAACCCGGUGAUCUAGCCAUGGGCAGGUUGAAGGUUGGGUAACACUAACUGGAGGACCGAACCGACUAAUGUUGAAAAAUUAGCGGAUGACUUGUGGCUGGGGGUGAAAGGCCAAUCAAACCGGGAGAUAGCUGGUUCUCCCCGAAAGCUAUUUAGGUAGCGCCUCGUGAAUUCAUCUCCGGGGGUAGAGCACUGUUUCGGCAAGGGGGUCAUCCCGACUUACCAACCCGAUGCAAACUGCGAAUACCGGAGAAUGUUAUCACGGGAGACACACGGCGGGUGCUAACGUCCGUCGUGAAGAGGGAAACAACCCAGACCGCCAGCUAAGGUCCCAAAGUCAUGGUUAAGUGGGAAACGAUGUGGGAAGGCCCAGACAGCCAGGAUGUUGGCUUAGAAGCAGCCAUCAUUUAAAGAAAGCGUAAUAGCUCACUGGUCGAGUCGGCCUGCGCGGAAGAUGUAACGGGGCUAAACCAUGCACCGAAGCUGCGGCAGCGACACUAUGUGUUGUUGGGUAGGGGAGCGUUCUGUAAGCCUGUGAAGGUGGCCUGUGAGGGUUGCUGGAGGUAUCAGAAGUGCGAAUGCUGACAUAAGUAACGAUAAAGCGGGUGAAAAGCCCGCUCGCCGGAAGACCAAGGGUUCCUGUCCAACGUUAAUCGGGGCAGGGUGAGUCGACCCCUAAGGCGAGGCCGAAAGGCGUAGUCGAUGGGAAACAGGUUAAUAUUCCUGUACUUGGUGUUACUGCGAAGGGGGGACGGAGAAGGCUAUGUUGGCCGGGCGACGGUUGUCCCGGUUUAAGCGUGUAGGCUGGUUUUCCAGGCAAAUCCGGAAAACCAAGGCUGAGGCGUGAUGACGAGGCACUACGGUGCUGAAGCGACAAAUGCCCUGCUUCCAGGAAAAGCCUCUAAGCAUCAGGUAACAUCAAAUCGUACCCCAAACCGACACAGGUGGUCAGGUAGAGAAUACCAAGGCGCUUGAGAGAACUCGGGUGAAGGAACUAGGCAAAAUGGUGCCGUAACUUCGGGAGAAGGCACGCUGAUAUGUAGGUGAAGCGACUUGCUCGUGGAGCUGAAAUCAGUCGAAGAUACCAGCUGGCUGCAACUGUUUAUUAAAAACACAGCACUGUGCAAACACGAAAGUGGACGUAUACGGUGUGACGCCUGCCCGGUGCCGGAAGGUUAAUUGAUGGGGUUAGCGGUAACGCGAAGCUCUUGAUCGAAGCCCCGGUAAACGGCGGCCGUAACUAUAACGGUCCUAAGGUAGCGAAAUUCCUUGUCGGGUAAGUUCCGACCUGCACGAAUGGCGUAAUGAUGGCCAGGCUGUCUCCACCCGAGACUCAGUGAAAUUGAACUCGCUGUGAAGAUGCAGUGUACCCGCGGCAAGACGGAAAGACCCCGUGAACCUUUACUAUAGCUUGACACUGAACAUUGAGCCUUGAUGUGUAGGAUAGGUGGGAGGCUUUGAAGUGUGGACGCCAGUCUGCAUGGAGCCGACCUUGAAAUACCACCCUUUAAUGUUUGAUGUUCUAACGUUGGCCCGUAAUCCGGGUUGCGGACAGUGUCUGGUGGGUAGUUUGACUGGGGCGGUCUCCUCCUAAAGAGUAACGGAGGAGCACGAAGGUUGGCUAAUCCUGGUCGGACAUCAGGAGGUUAGUGCAAUGGCAUAAGCCAGCUUGACUGCGAGCGUGACGGCGCGAGCAGGUGCGAAAGCAGGUCAUAGUGAUCCGGUGGUUCUGAAUGGAAGGGCCAUCGCUCAACGGAUAAAAGGUACUCCGGGGAUAACAGGCUGAUACCGCCCAAGAGUUCAUAUCGACGGCGGUGUUUGGCACCUCGAUGUCGGCUCAUCACAUCCUGGGGCUGAAGUAGGUCCCAAGGGUAUGGCUGUUCGCCAUUUAAAGUGGUACGCGAGCUGGGUUUAGAACGUCGUGAGACAGUUCGGUCCCUAUCUGCCGUGGGCGCUGGAGAACUGAGGGGGGCUGCUCCUAGUACGAGAGGACCGGAGUGGACGCAUCACUGGUGUUCGGGUUGUCAUGCCAAUGGCACUGCCCGGUAGCUAAAUGCGGAAGAGAUAAGUGCUGAAAGCAUCUAAGCACGAAACUUGCCCCGAGAUGAGUUCUCCCUGAGACUUAGAGUCUCCUGAAGGAACGUUGAAGACGACGACGUUGAUAGGCCGGGUGUGUAAGCGCAGCGAUGCGUUGAGCUAACCGGUACUAAUGAACCGUGAGG